GCCGGGGUGGCGGAACCGGCAGACGCGCCCGGCUUAAACCCGGGUGCCCCCGAAAGGGGCGUGAGGGUUCGACCCCCUCCCCCGGCA
rnacentral:tRNA from 1 species